AAACAGGAUUUUCCUUGGCUCUUCACCUGAGAAUCUGGGGGUACAACACAUGACAGCAUGGGGCUCCCCUAAGACUGUGGUCCCAGGCAUUUCGCCUCUCCAACUCGCCCACCUGUCACCCAGUGUGGACAUCGCCACCUCUGCGUCCCUGCCAUUUCCGGCUGCAGUGCUUCUCCCCAGUGUCCAGGUGGCCCGAGGGCGGCACGUGGAGGUCGGCUGCUUUUUCCUAAGACCUGUUUUGCUCCUGCCUCGUGGAGGAACAGCCCAUGGUGCUCCUACGUGUGUUUGGCUCCGUGGACGACGGAAUAGUGAGCCCCGAGUGUUCUUCGUCAGCAGUUUUAAUGAGGAGAGACUCGCGAGGAUCUGCUUCCGCUUCACCCCAGAGCAGACCCGGAGGAAGAACGUUUUCUGCAUCCGGAAAAUUCUGCAACCCUGGGGAGGCCGCCUUCUUCGGAGCCCGCCCUCCCCAGCCGUUUACCAGGCUGCCUUCUUGAUGACAGACCGAACAUGUGAAACUUUGGGCGACAAGGAGGCUGAUCAUUAG
rnacentral:lncRNA from 9 species